AGUAGUAUAGGGACAGUUUUGUUGCAGUGCAGGUAAUAUUUCUGUAGAAGCAAAAAAAGAUAUUUUUUAAAGGAGGUGGUUUCUUAGAAUUUCAAAGAAGGGCAUGUGCUGCCUCCCAAAAACUAACUAACUAUUGAGAAACUAAACUGGAAGACUCACAAAACUGAUAGGGCAUUUGGAGGAAGGUCCUGCUGGUCUGAGCGUUAUUGUUUAGAAUCAUAAAGCUAGAAAAUCCAACUUCCUUAUCAAUGCUGGAUCUGCCAUACAGGAUGCAACCACAGCAUUUCCAAGAGAUGACCAUCCAGCGUCUGCUUAAAUAUCUCCGUUGAAAGAGAGCCCACUAUUCUCGGAGGCAGUCUGUCCCACUGUCAAAACACAGUAAGCCCUGAGGACAUUUCUCCUAUAGUUUAGCCAAAAUCUGCUUCUUCUUCCACCCAUUGCAUUGAUUUUAAAGGACUUAAUGUAUGUGAUACAGUAAAGGAAGAUUCGUGUGAGACAUAGCUGUCAACGUUUUCCUUUUCUUAAGGGAAAGUCCCUUAUUCCGAAUAGGAUUCCUCACAAGAAAAGGGAAACGUUGACAGCUAUGGUGUGAGAUGGGGAGGCAUUUCCCACAAUUGGCAGAGGAAGAUUGUGGACCAUGUUUCCUCACCAACAACAUAGUUCACUUUGAGUAAUGAAAAAAGAAGUAUUUCGCCACAGCGAAGGCACCUGUAGGUGUGAGGUUGGGUAGAUGUUCUUCUGCAGCAUUUGAGUACAAUUGAUGGGGAAAGACUCUUGAAGUCAGAGCUGGGAUUGCUCUCACUUGGAAAACAGCGUAUGAAAAAUAUCCUCUGUGGCGUGGAAAUACAUUUAGGAGGUUUGCUUGUGGCACGCAAAACUCAUGUUGCUGGUUUUUGUGGCGCUCUAGAAACCUAAAAAAAACUUCUGUCAGAGGUGGCAGUGAGACAGCAUAAAUGGGACUUUACCCCUUGGGAAAGGAUGGCUGUAUUGUACAUGCCAGUUUCAAGUCACUUUAUCAUCUGGCCGAAUAGGCAUGUGAAAAUAUAUAUGCAGAUGAAAUAACACUCUGGUUACUGUUGCUCAGGGGAAAAGCCACUUAACACGUGGAACAUAGUGGCUACUUAUAUUGCCUUAGAGAAGCUUAGGCUUCUUAGUGCCUGCUUAAAAGAAAAAAAAACCAGUUUUACAGCAUUUUGCUGUUGAAUCGCAGAACUGUAAAGUUGGAAGGGAUCCCGAGGGUCAUCUAGUCCAACCCCCUGCAACGCAGGAAUCUUAAAUAGAUCACACAUGACAGAUGGCCAGCCAAGCUCUACUUUAAAAACCUCCAAGGAAGGAGAGUCCACUACCUCUCCUGGGAAUCUGUUCCACUGCCGAAACAACUCUAGCCUUUUUUUUUUUUUUUUGCUGCUACAUCAUGCAGUUGACUUAGGUUCAGUUUGUGGUCUCCUAAGACCCCCUAGAUCCUUUAAACAUGUGCUACUAGCAAUCCACCUGUCCCCCCAUCUUACAUGUGUGCAGCUGGUUCUUUGUGCCACAUUGCAUGGGACUAUUUUCUCUGUUUAUGAGUUGCAAAUAUUUCCUCCCUUUUGCUGCAAUUCCUUGUGCCUGACAACUGCAAAGCUUCCUUUGCAUUGAAAUGAAACUGAGGGCAUACGCUGUCAACAGAAGAGACAGUCAGCAAAAGAACCGUAUCUAGCAAGGUCUUUGCACACUCCCGACACUUUCCUAACAAUCUAGUACUGAGUGUAACAUACACCUGAGCGAUACAGCUAAAACCCUAUUCGACUCAAAUGGCAGUACUGGGAAAUCUAGGUUCAUAGUAUGCUCCUUACAUAGCUUCAUGACAAUAUAAUCUUAUGUCAACAGCACACUCCUUUACCUGUAAUUUCUGAUUUUCUUGGUGUUUCCUACCUUCCCUUCCUCCAAACUUAGGUUGUGGUGAAUAGGUGGUAAGUUUUCUUCUCCUUUUCAUCAGCUCUGUCUCAACGUUAGGCAAUGGCGGUUUUUAUAUUUUUAUAUAUUUAAGUGAAUCAAUGUGUGGCAAUGAGCAGUGGCCAUUUCUGCCCUACCGCUUUUGUGAUUUGGUUAAAUGAAACUUCAUUAUAAGAACUUAAGCAGAUCCCUGCUGGACUGGAUCAGGCCAAAGGCCCAUUUAGGCCAGUAUUCUGUUCUCUCACCUGCCUGUGAGAAACCUGUGAGCAAGACAUGAUGAUGAACUCAAUAUUACUUUCCUACUUGUGUUUCUUCCGCAACUGGUAUUCAGAGGCUGGCUUUCUCCAGUCUUGGAGUUUGCCUUUAGCCCACAUCACGACUAAGAGUCAUUGCUAUAUCCUCUGUGAAUUUGUCUACUCCCCGUUUAAAGAUAUGUCAGUUGGCCGUUUUGUGUGUGUGUCUAUAUAGACAUUUAUACCUUUCCAUGACCAUUAUUUUUGAUUUCUCAUUGUACAGAAAAGGUAUAAAAAUGAGGAAAGCUACCUGUUUUGUGACAUUAGGUAUCUUGUGCUUCAAAUUCCAUUGUUUAAUUAUAUGCUGUGGGGCACAGUGUGUCCCUUCGUCUGGCCUCAAUCUGCCAUUAUUCAGCUUCAUUUGGUGGACCUUCCACCUCUAAGAUUCUAUGAUUUCCUUGAUCUGGACACUAUAUUUCUGUUGAUGCAGCCUAGAAUAGCUGGGGGAAGUUUAUUCACUUUCUUCACAGCAUGCAUAAUUUUGGAUGCCACAGUCAUGUCUUCCCUCAUAUUUUUUUUCCUAGAUGGAAAAAAUUGCCUCAACAUUGAACCUUUCCUCAUAGGAGAGCUGCUCCAGUCACGUGAUCCGUUUGCUUGCCUCUUUCUAUUCAUUAGUGUCAGCACUUGAAGGCUACAAACCAGAAAUCUGUAAGGGGUCCUAUGUGUUUUGAUGCAUGCCAUCAACAUAAUUUGCAUACACUUUUCAGGAACCCGACAGAUGCCAAACUACAGCUGAUGGAACUUCUUGCUUUGCUUCUGCAUUUGAUGCCAUCAAAUGAGAUAAACUCAAGAAAGCAUUUGAAAAUUCUUGUAUGGGUUUACAGUAGAAGCAAAGAAUAAAUGUGGGCUUUU